UACGAAGGGGGCUAGCGUUGCUCGGAAUCACUGGGCGUAAAGGGUGCGUAGGCGGGUCUUUAAGUCAGGGGUGAAAUCCUGGAGCUCAACUCCAGAACUGCCUUUGAUACUGAAGAUCUUGAGUUCGGGAGAGGUGAGUGGAACUGCGAGUGUAGAGGUGAAAUUCGUAGAUAUUCGCAAGAACACCAGUGGCGAAGGCGGCUCACUGGCCCGAUACUGACGCUGAGGCACGAAAGCUAGGGGAGCAGACAGG
rnacentral:rRNA from 1 species